rnacentral:lncRNA from 13 species
CUCCGGAGAGCCAGGGUCCCAUGACCCCCUCUAUUCCUCACUGGAUCUCAGGGACUUGGAGCCUCUUUCCCACGGCUUUUAUACCUGGUUGCCAAUUUUGCCUCCACAGGAAAUUGUAGCUCAGCCUCUUCUUCCACUGGCCCUGAGUGUACUUGGCAAAGCCCAAUUGCCUGGAGCACUCUGGGGACUUCAAAGAGGAAUCUACUCAGAGAAAAUGUGCACGGACCGGGGAGAAGAGUCAGGAAGCUCGUGACUGGUUACCUUCUCCCUCCCGUGGCAAGCUUCCCAUCCCUGCACAGCGAUGUGGAUACUGCAAAAUUGUCCUUGAUGAUUUGCAUCUCUAACUCUCUCGACCUACACAGGAAAGCAUGGACAUUGGCUUCAGCCUUGUCUUCGCCAGCACUGAAUAGCAUCAACCUGUAA